CCUACGGGAGGCAGCAGUGGGGGAUAUUGCACAAUGGGGGGAACCCUGAUGCAGCGACGCCGCGUGGGUGAAGGAGCGUUUCGGCGCGUAAAGUUCUAUCGGCAGGGAAGAAGGAGGACGGUUACUGACUAAGAAGCCCCGGCAAACUCCGUGCCAGCAGCCGCGGUAAUACGGGGGAUGCGAGCGUUAUCCGGACUUAUGGGGUUAAAGGAGUGCGUUGGCGGAUCGUUAAGUCAGUGUGCAAAUUGCGGGGCUCAACCCCUUCCCGCCAUUGAAACUGGCGCUCUUGAGUGGAAGAGAAGUAGGCGGAAUGCGUGGUGUAGCGGUGAAAUGCAUAGAUAUCACGCAGAACCCCGAUGGCGAAGGCAGCAUGCCGGCUGCCGACUGACGCUGAGGCACGAAAGCGUGGGGAUCGAACAGGAUUAGAUACCCCAGUAGUC
rnacentral:rRNA from 1 species